AUUGAACGCUGGCGGCAGGCCUAACACAUGCAAGUCGAGCGAGCGGCGGACGGGUGAGGAAUGUCGGGGAAACUGCCUGAUGGAGGGGGAUAACUACUGGAAACGGUAGCUAAGCACGCAUACCAUCAGAUGUGCGGAGGUGGGGUUAGCUAGUGGGUGGGGGAACGGCUCACCUAGGCGACGAUCCCUAGCUGGUCUGAGAGGAUGACCCGCCACACUGGAACGGAGACACGGUCCAGACUCCUACGGGAGGCAGCAGUGGGGAAUAUUGCACAAUGGGCGCAAGCCUGAUACAGCCAUGCCGCGUGUGUGAAGAAGGCCUUCGGGUUGUAAAGCACUUUCAGCGGGGAGGCGUUACCCGCAGAAGAAGCACCGGCUAACUCCGUGCCAGCAGCCGCGGUAAUAC
rnacentral:rRNA from 1 species